rnacentral:rRNA from 1 species
UACGGAGGGUGCAAGCGUUAUCCGGAUUUUCUGGGUUUAAAGGGUGUGUAGGCGGAUUAUUAAGUCAGCGGUGAAAUCUCCGGGCUCAACCCGGAAACUGCCAUUGAUACUAUUAGUCUUGAAUAUUGUUGAGGUGGGCGGAACGGGUCAUGUAGCGGUGAAAUGCAUAGAUAUGACCCGGAACACCGAUUGCGAAGGCAGCCCACUAAGCAAUGAUUGACGCUGAGGCACGAAAGCGUGGGGAUCAAACAGG